GCGGUAGUCGUCUAGUGGUAGGAUUCAGGACUGUGGAUCCUGCGGCGCGGGUUCGAUUCCCGCCUAUCGCC
rnacentral:tRNA from 1 species